rnacentral:rRNA from 1 species
AAAUUGAAGAGUUUGAUCAUGGCUCAGAUUGAACGCUGGCGGCAGGCCUAACACAUGCAAGUCGAACGGUAACAGGAAGCGCUUGCUGCUUCGCUGACGAGUGGCGGACGGGUGAGUAAUGUCUGGGAAACUGCCUGAUGGAGGGGGAUAACUACUGGAAACGGUAGCUAAUACCGCAUAACGUCGCAAGACCAAAGAGGGGGACCUUCGGGCCUCUUGCCAUCGGAUGUGCCCAGAUGGGAUUAGCUAGUAGGUGGGGUAACGGCUCACC